GGUAGGGGUUCGGGUACUACAAGUUGUAGGGGGUCUACGGUGAGGCCAAGUUUAGACACGAACAAUCUUUUAAAGUUGUUCUACGGUUUGGAUUCGUUGAAACUCGAGCUUAAUCGAUUGGAAAUUGAAGUCACAGGUGAUUAAUGCAAAAUGAUUUAUUAUGAUCGAGAACCGAGUGAAUCACAAUCUUAGAUAGAUCUUAAAUUAAAUGUCUACAUAAGAAAAAAAUGAUUGAAAACUAUAACUUUAAUGUCAUUGUGGGUUAACUGCU
rnacentral:lncRNA from 1 species